GAUGAACGCUGGCGGCGUGCUUAACACAUGCAAGUCGAACGAUCGCAAGAUAGUGGCGCACGGGUGAGGAACACGUAGCUAACCUGCCUUUGGGUCUGGGAUAACGUCGCGAAAGUGACGCUAAGACCGGAUAAGCUCCCGGGUUGUAGAGACCCGAGAGAAAAGGGGCAAGACGCCCGAAGAGGGGGCUGCGGCGCAUCAGCUAGUUGGUGGGGUAAAGGCCUACCAAGGCAACGACGCGUAAGGGGUCUGAGAGGAUGAUCCCUCACACUGGGACUGAGACACGGCCCAGACUCCUACGGGAGGCAGCAGUGAGGAAUAUUGCACAAUGGGGGCAACCCUGAUGCAGCGACGCCGCGUGGGUGAUGACGGCCUUCGGGUUGUAAAGCCCUUUUGCCAUUGACGAGAACGGACGGUAGAUGGCGAAUAAGCCUCGGCUAACUACGUG
rnacentral:rRNA from 1 species